rnacentral:lncRNA from 1 species
AGAAGAAGAAGAAGAAGAAGAAGAAGAAGAAGAAGAAGAAGAAGAAGAAGAAGAAGAAGAAGAAGAAGAAGAAGAAGAAGAAGAAGAAGAAGAAGAAGCAACCGUUGUAGUAACUAUUCCAGUCCUCUGUGUGGCGCUGUAACUAACUUUCUAUGUGUGAAGCUCUGCUACAAACGCCUCUGGAACUGAAUUCAUCUAAAUCUAUCAAACUGGGCCGAGAUCAUCACUAAACUACCAUAACAUGGCAACUCCUGGAAGAAAGAGGAGAGCAGACGUGUGGACACAUUUCGUCUACGACAGCAUUGAAAAUAAGACCCAUUGUAUAGUGUGUGGAGGCACUAUUACUGGAAAAAACACCACCAACCUGAAACGACAUUUGCUGAAGAACCAUUCUGAGCUCUGUAAUGUUAGCAUGCUGAAGGUUGCUGGAACUGCACAUAACAAGGAGGAUGAAGGGAACAGUCAUGUAAAAGCUGAGCCGUGCUCACUGCCAAUUGUCAGCUCCAGUUUUAACGUGGAGUUGUGCCACGCUAACUGUCCAGAUGUGGAUGUCCUUCAGGAACAACGCGGGCAUUGUGACAUUGAUGCUGACAUGAGGCCGGCAAACACUCUCUGCAGUGUUAGAGAUGAAGAUGAACUAUUUCUCCUCAGCCUCCUGCCGUCACUGAAGAGACUCAACCAGAAGAAACGAAUGGAGGUGCGGAUGGAAUUCCAGAAAGUUCUUUAUGCUGCAGAGUAUCAAAACUAACAUCAUCUUUCAGCUUGUGAAUGUGAGGAUUUCAACUCUUACAGCUUCUGUUUAUUGUUUUUAAAACAAGGAUGUGUUGUAAUUUUUGUUCAUAAUAUAUAAUGUGUAUUUCAUAAUUUCUCCUGUUAACCAUGCAACCUGUACAGUUUCUGUGUUUGAAUUAUUGUCGCUGCACAAAGGUCAUCUAUUGUAAAACUAGCAAAGUGUUGGUUAUGAAGAACAUUGUAAUGACUUGGAUUUAUUUGAUGUGUGACACUUUUAAUUAAAUCAAAAAAUAUUGACAUUUUUCUUAAAAGUGUUAUUGAACUGUUAGAAGAUGAUGCCCUGUUAAUAUAGGUGUUGCAAUCUUAAGUUUAAUGUAUCAUAAUUGUGGAGUAUAUUAACUUUUUUGGUGCUGGUACUGAAAUUAAAGCACACAUGUACAUGUACAGUGGGGCAAAAAAGUAUUUAGUCAGCCACCAGUUGUGCAAGUUCUCCCCCUUAAAAAGAUGAGAGGCCUGUAAUUUUCAUCAUAGGUAUACCUCAACUAUGAGAAACAAAAUGGGACAAAAAAAUUCAGAAAAUUACAUUGUAAGAUUUUUAAUGAAUUUAUUUGCAAAAUAAGUAUUUGGUCAAUAACUGUUAAAUCGCAAUACUUUGUAAUGUACCCUUUGUUGGCAAUGACAGAGGUAAAACGUUUUCUGUAAGUCUUCACACACUUGCUGGUAUUUUGGCCCAUUCCUCCAUGCAGAGCUCUAGAGCAUGAUGUUACCACCCCC